CCUAUCACGAUUCAUAAUCAUAAUUUAAUAAUCAUAAUUCAACCAUCUGAUCAAUUGAAAGUCUUUUUGUGUGUGAUCCCAUAGGUUCUAUUUUGUUUGAUAGUGAGAUAUAUUAUGAUCCCUAUCACAAUAUCAUUGAAACUCUUUUCAAUGGGUUGGAAUCAUUCCAAUUGUGCCCAUCAAAGAUCAUCGAUCAUCAAGAGGAUGCUUGUGGGUCUCACAAUCCACUAGUGACAUCUAGCAGUAUGUAGUGGCAAUCCAGCAGAAUAAAAAGUGAUGAAUCUCUAGGUGUAGUUAAUGUAUAAUACAAUCCUUCUAUCAUGUGUCCCGACCAGAUGACAGAUCAUGGAUAAAUCAUCAAAUCUCAUCAUCGGUCAUAUGAUAGAUUCAAUUAGCUCGAGUCCAUAUGUGAUUAUCAUGAAAAUUCUUUUUCAUUAAUCAUACUGUUAUGGCCAUAGACUUAAAGACUCAACUUUUUAAAUCCUAUAGGACUACUUUCUUCUGUUAGGAUCGAUACAUUCCAUCUAGGUGCACACCCUACUCUUAUAGUGGAUCAACUAUCACCAACAUCCACUAUAAGGGCUCAUUGAGAUCUAUAUUUAUGUGUCAGUUAAACUCCAGCAGUCCACUGCGAGCAGCUGUAAUACCACAGGUCAAAGAAUCAGUCAUACAACUGCAGCAUCGAGAAAGUCACUAACGAGUGAGCAGACAUCCAUGUGACUUCUCGUGUUGGUCAUGCUCAGUGUUAGUUAUUCUCUAACAACCACAUACACUCUCGCUCUAAUGUCCCUAUACUGCAGACUCGAGAUCCAUUUGCCCAAAGGAAGUGAUUUGUGCACUGGUCUAUUUGGAUCAAUCACCAUCUCCAUGAUGAUCCUAUGAUCAGGAGUAAUUUAAGAAUUAACUUUUUGGAUGAUUCAUGGAUAUAUAAAAUAUGAAUAGUAAUAUAAAUAUUCAUAAAGUAUAAAAAUAUAUCCUAAAAAUAUAAUAUGCAUCAGCCAAGAUUGGCUUCUAGGGCAUAUAUUCAAUAUUUGGAAGAUUAUGUUUUGUUUUAGGUUACUUUAUUGAACUCGAGCUAGCCUAUGCCACUAAGUUAGUCAUAACCAUUAUGACUAAUUAAAGAAUAGACCUAAAUUAUAUUUUUCUAAUAAAAUAUUAAGUAUAGUGGUCUUUCACCGUUGUAGCUGUGCAUGCUCUUUUCGGGAUUGAUUAUUCUCAAUUGGAUACAGUGGUUCAAUUGCACUGAAAAGAUGCAACUAUGACUAUUAAGCAUGAGAUGCUGUAGAGUGGAGAUGGAGUUGGACUCAAUAUUUUGGAUACGGUGAAAGUCUCAAUGACAGAUUCAUUUCGUGCAAAUGGUGGAUCUGACUUAACUAAGGAGUGGGCCAAUAUUCUGGACACAGUGAGGCUUCAUAAAUUAGAGACCGAAGAUGGCGGUAUCAUGUUUGGAGAAUCAUUGAUAAGAGUUAUCCACUUAUUGGUCGAUCCAUCAUCAAUAACUGUUAGGUGAGAUGAUGAGUCAAUUUGUGAGACCGCAGCACCCACUAAAAAUUUUUGAUCAUGGAGGUUUUCGUAUCUCUAUUCGGAGAGUGUG
rnacentral:lncRNA from 1 species